CCCAUGCGGCAGCUAUACAUGCAAGUCGAGCGGACAGAUGGGAGCUUGCUCCCUGAUGUUAGCGGCGGACGGGUGAGUAACACGUGGGUAACCUGCCUGUAAGACUGGGAUAACUCCGGGAAACCGGGGCUAAUACCGGAUGCUUGAUUGAACCGCAUGGUUCAAUUAUAAAAGGUGGCUUUUAGCUACCACUUACAGAUGGACCCGCGGCGCAUUAGCUAGUUGGUGAGGUAACGGCUCACCAAGGCAACGAUGCGUAGCCGACCUGAGAGGGUGAUCGGCCACACUGGGACUGAGACACGGCCCAGACUCCUACGGGAGGCAGCAGUAGGGAAUCUUCCGCAAUGGACGAAAGUCUGACGGAGCAACGCCGCGUGAGUGAUGAAGGUUUUCGGAUCGUAAAACUCUGUUGUUAGGGAAGAACAAGUACCGUUCGAAUAGGGCGGUACCUUGACGGUACCUAACCAGAAAGCCACGGCUAACUACGUGCCAGCAGCCGCGGUAAUACGUAGGUGGCAAGCGUUGUCCGGAAUUAUUGGGCGUAAAGCGCGCGCAGGCGGUUUCUUAAGUCUGAUGUGAAAGCCCCCGGCUCAACCGGGGAGGGUCAUUGGAAACUGGGGAACUUGAGUGCAGAAGAGGAGAGUGGAAUUCCACGUGUAGCGGUGAAAUGCGUAGAGAUGUGGAGGAACACCAGUGGCGAAGGCGACUCUCUGGUCUGUAACUGACGCUGAGGCGCGAAAGCGUGGGGAGCGAACAGGAUUAGAUACCCUGGUAGUCCACGCCGUAAACGAUGAGUGCUAAGUGUUAGAGGGUUUCCGCCCUUUAGUGCUGCAGCAAACGCAUUAAGCACUCCGCCUGGGGAGUACGGUCGCAAGACUGAAACUCAAAGGAAUUGACGGGGGCCCGCACAAGCGGUGGAGCAUGUGGUUUAAAUUCGAAGCAACGCGAAGAACCUUACCAGGUCUUGACAUCCCUCUGACAACCCUAGAGAUAGGGACUUCCUCCUUCGGGGGCAGAGUGACAGGUGGGUGCAUGGGUUGUCGUUCAGCUCGUGUCGUGGAAGAAUGUUUGGU
rnacentral:rRNA from 1 species